AGUGAACGCUGGCGGCAGGCCUAAUACAUGCAAGUCGAACGGCAGCACAGCAGAGCUUGCUCUGUGGGUGGCGAGUGGCGGACGGGUGAGGAAUACGUGGGAAUCUGCCCAGUCGUGGGGGAUAACGUAGGGAAACUUACGCUAAUACCGCAUGCGCCCUUCGGGGGAAAGCCGGGGACCUUCGGGCCUGGCGCGAUUGGAUGAGCCCACGUCGGAUUAGCUAGUUGGCGGGGUAAAGGCCCACCAAGGCGACGAUCCGUAGCUGGUCUGAGAGGAUGAUCAGCCACACUGGAACUGAGACACGGUCCAGACUCCUACGGGAGGCAGCAGUAGGGAAUAUUGGACAAUGGGCGCAAGCCUGAUCCAGCCAUGCCGCGUGAGUGAAGAAGGCCCUCGGGUUGUAAAGCUCUUUUGUCCGGAAAGAAAAGCGCCGGGUUAAUACCCUGGUGUCCUGACGGUACCGGAAGAAUAAGCACCGGCUAACUUCGUGCCAGCAGCCGCGGUAA
rnacentral:rRNA from 1 species